rnacentral:rRNA from 1 species
GACCAACGCUGGCGGCAUGCAUCAUACAUGCAAGUCGAACGGGGAGUUUUGUAGCAAUACAGAGCUCCUAGUGGCGAACGGGUGAGUAACACGUAGGUAACCUGCCCUCCACUCUGGGAUAACCCUCGGAAACGAGAGCUAAUACCGGAUACUCCGUCGAGGUCGCAUGGCCAUGACGGGAAAGCUCCGGCGGUGGAGGAUGAGCCCGCGGCCCAUUAGCUUGUUGGCGGGGUAACGGCCCACCAAGGCGACGAUGGGUAGCCGAGCUGAGAGGCUGAUCGGCCACACUGGGACUGAGACACGGCCCAGACUCCUACGGGAGGCAGCAGUGGGGAAUCUUGCGCAAUGGGCGAAAGCCUGACGCAGCAACGCCGCGUGCGGGAUGAAGGCUCUCGGGUCGUAAACCGCUUUCAGCAGGGACGAAACUGACUGCACCUGCAGAAGAAGCCCCGGCUAAAUACGUGCCAGCCGCCGCAGUAACAC